rnacentral:piRNA from 1 species
UGAAAGACCCCCUUCCAGUUGUCAUGCC